rnacentral:rRNA from 1 species
GGGUCAGUAGGUUGGUCGUGCCACCGGUACGUACUGGUCUCACUGAUUCCUCCUUCCUGAAUAACCGUAAUGCCAUUAAUUUGGUGUUGCGGGGAAACAGGACUGUUACUUUGAAAAAAUUAGAGAGUUUAAAGCAAGCUAACGCUUGAAUACAUUAGCAUGGAAUAAUGAAAUAGGACGAUCGAUCCUAUUUUGUUGGUUUCUAGGAUUGACGUA